AGGUAACAGAAUAAAGUGAACAGUCUUUGAAGGAAAGAAGAUGCAAAGUCAGAGCUCAAAGCAAAUGGAUAUUGCCUCUUGUUCCACCUUCAUGAUGACUGUGGGGAGAUCUUGCAGAAGUACCAUCAUCAGCAAGAGAAAUGAAAAUCAGCAAGGAUUUUGGCUUCUGUCAGCAAGCAAAAUCUGCAGUUCAGGAAAUUUUGAGCUAUUAUUAUAACAAAAGCAGCUCCCUCUCUUUUAAUUUUCAUUUGCUUGGACUUGGAUCUUUAUCUCAGCUUUUCCACACUUGAAUUCCUUAUGAAUUUACUGUGAGCUAAACCAGAGAAAGUGGAGACCUACAAAACCUAACACUGUCGGAGUGACUUUUGGGUACAGACACAUUUUCAUAGGAAAAGUUAUGAAACCACUAUAAGACACUGAAAAAAAAUUUUUUUCCCAGCUUCCCUUCAAUUUAUAAUUAGAACACUUAAUAUAAAUUUCAAAAUAGCAAAAACUUCAAGCAGCCUUGCAGAUCAGUCAUUCUGCAAUUGUAUUUAAAGGAAACUUGAGGAUUUGUACAUAAGAGGCCUGAAGAACAAAGUUGUCUGCCCUCAGGAAGGAUAUUAAUAUUGAAGGAGGCCUACAUUUGAGCAUGCUUCUAUCCCUCCUUCAGGGGAUUUUCUUCCAGCAGGGAUUUUCCUGCUUCAGUUGUUAAUUUCCCUGAAGGUGUUUUGACAAGUUGGAUGCCUCUUUACACUUUUUGUCAUAGCUAUGGUAUUUGAGGGAGCUGAAGCGAAAAUCUGCGUGUAUACAACAGAGGAAGGAGGUGUUAGUAUAUGCUUAAGGACCGACAAAGGAUUAUAUUCUAAUCUGUUCAUUUUGCUAAACAGAAGUUGUACAGAUUUACCAGGUAUUACCUGUGUCUGUUUAAAUUACAACUUAUCUUCUAAAAAAUAA